UACAGAGGUCCCAAGCGUUGUUCGGAUUCACUGGGCGUAAAGGGUGCGUAGGCGGUCGGGUAAGUCUGAUGUGAAAUCUCACAGCUUAACUGUGAAACUGCAUUGGAUACUAUUCGGCUUGAGAGUUGGAGGGGGGACUGGAAUUCUUGGUGUAGCAGUGAAAUGCGUAGAUAUCAAGAGGAACACCAGUGGCGAAGGCGAGUCCCUGGACAACUUCUGACGCUGAGGCACGAAGGCUAGGGGGAGCAAACAGG
rnacentral:rRNA from 1 species